rnacentral:rRNA from 1 species
AAAGCCCGGGGCUCAACCUCGGAGUUGCAUUUGAAACUGGCAGGCUAGAGUACUGUAGAGGGGGGUAGAAUUUCAGGUGUAGCGGUGAAAUGCGUAGAGAUCUGAAGGAAUACCGGUGGCGAAGGCGGCCCCCUGGACAGAUACUGACACUCAGAUGCGAAAGCGUGGGGAGCAAACAGGAUUAGAUACCCUGGUAGUCCACGCCGUAAACGAUGUCUACUUGGAGGUUGUGGCCUUGAGCCGUGGCUUUCGGAGCUAACGCGUUAAGUAGACCGCCUGGGGAGUACGGUCGCAAGAUUAAAACUCAAAUGAAUUGACGGGGGCCCGCACAAGCGGUGGAGCAUGUGGUUUAAUUCGAUGCAACGCGAAGAACCUUACCUACUCUUGACAUCUACAGAAUCCUGCGGAGACGCGGGAGUGCCUUCGGGAACUGUAAGACAGGUGCUGCAUGGCUGUCGUCAGCUCGUGUUGUGAAAUGUUGGGUUAAGUCCCGCAACGAGCGCAACCCUUAUCCUUGUUUGCCAGCGAGUAAUGUCGGGAACUCCAGGGAGACUGCCGGUGAUAAACCGGANGAAGGUGGGGACGACGUCAAGUCAUCAUGGCCCUUACGAGUAGGGCUACACACGUGCUACAAUGGCGCAUACAGAGGGCGGCGAGCUAGCGAUAGUGAGCGAAUCCCAAAAAGUGCGUC